CCUACGGGAGGCAGCAGUGAGGAAUAUUGGUCAAUGGCCGUAAGGCUGAACCAGCCAAGUCGCGUGAGGGAAGACUGACCUAUGUGUUGUAAACCUCUUUUAUGCGGAGAUAAAGGUGUCCACGUGUGGAUGUUUGCAGCUACCGCAUGAAUAAGGACCGGCCAAUCCCGUGCCAGCAGCCGCGGUAAUACGGAAGGUCCGGGCGUUAUCCGGAUUUAUUGGGUUUAAAGGGAGCGUAGGCCGGUCUUUACGCGUGCCGUGAAAGUGUGUGGCAAAACCAUGAGAGUGCGGCGCGAACUGGAGACCUUGAGUGCGCGGAAGGCAGGCGGAAUUCGUGGUGUAGCGGUGAAA
rnacentral:rRNA from 1 species